CCUCAGGGACAUCCUGAGGAUCAAAAGAGACCUCAAAAUCCGAAACCAACGGAGCAUUGCCUAUGGCCGAUGCAGAGGCGUGGAGAACAUCAGAAACUGUGAUGCCCCACGGGACCUGAGGGAUAUCCUUACUGCACGGCGCAGGGGCCACAAUGGACCAUACAAGAACAGACGCCGUGGAGGAGCCCCAUGGUAGAAGACGCGUAGAGGAAAGCGAUCCAGCAUUAAUAGAAACAUCUGCUGUAAAUCUACGCGCUAUGCAAAGCCUAUACCACCGGCUGUCAUCAUGUGAUGUAUCCAGUUCAAAGCCUAUGCCAUCGGCUGUCAUCAUGUGAUGUAUCCAGUUCAAAGCCUAUACCACCGGCUGUCAUCAUGUGAUGUAUCCAGUUCAAAGCCUAUACCAUCGGCUGUCAUCUUGCGUUAUAUACAGGCUCUCUAUAACUCCAGUCUACAGUCAGUUAUUGGAAAGCCACCAAUUGUUCUGUAACUUUAAGACGUACUUAAUAUAUGGCGACUUUCUUAUAGGUAGUUCUUGUAUAAACCUAUACCACCUGCUGGAGUACCACCUUGUACAAUACUGUAUAUAUAACGUGUACCCUCUGCUGGAAA